UUUCUUCUUCUCCCUAGUACUAAGUGCAAACAACUUAGUGCGAGUUUCCUCCACUAUCUAGAGGGAGACGUACUCGCUUUCCUCUAAGUUCAAGGGCUCUUUAGAACUCACAUAAAUACUUAGAGCCUGACAUAGCUAAUCCUCAAAUGAGCCAAACACUGGCCAGUUCAAAUGGUCCCCUCUUAUUUGUUUCCCUCCCCAAACCUCUAUGCAGUAGUGCACCAUUUUCACCUUGUCCUUUCCUGGAGGGGAAGGCAUCCCAAUUUUUAAUCAUUAGUCCUUAUGGACUAUCUGGAGGAAUUUGGGGAAGCUUUACAGGGUUUCCCCUACCCAUGGGACCAGAGGGCUUGCUUUUCCUCUGUCCCAUCUUCCGGAGUGCCUUCUUACACACACCUCUACGCUUCCCUCAAUUCGUGGCCCAGCCCGUCGCCGGGUGUGGGAAAUGCACUACUAUGAGGUCCACACUCACGUCGUCUCACAGAGACGUCUCACUCAUUACACUCCGGGAUCCCAACCCCAACCGAGCGGGCCCCGCUCCCUCCGAACGGAGCAACCUCAGUAGCCCUGAAGGACCACUGAAAGGACAAAAAAGAGAGGAGUGAAGACAACGAGGCUGCAGUUAACAUCUGCAAUGUGACACAGAAAGUGUCUGUGUGGUGAUGCUGGGCUCUGCUGGCUCCUUUCACUUUGGGCUGAGGAGAGACAGGCUGCCCCAAGCAGCUGCUCCUGGCAGUCCUCAUUUUCUUCCUGACAGAGACAGCAAGGGAGAUGUGGCUCUAAGAACUGCCAGAUGCUUGGAAAAGGUUGCAGAAAGAAGCAGUCAGGAGCCAUCCAGAGAACCAAAGUCUCCUUGCUGGGUGCUGAGGGAGGAAGAAUAAAAGUGGAGCUGCAGGAAUUCAAGGAAGAUUUCAUCUCUGCACAUAUAGAAAAGAGGACAAGGAAUUCUUUUUCCAGGAGCUCCCUUCUGACACACUGAAUUCCUAAAUCUGAGAGAGCCUCAGCUCCCAUGGGGAGCUGGACACUGUAACUGGACCCAGCCUCUGCCCACACAAACAAUUUGCCAUUUCUGUGUGAGAUUUACACCUUGCUUUCAGUUCAAAAUUGCACAUUUUCCUUCAAGAGGGAUCCACUUUGUUGUGCUUGAUUGUGCAAGCGUUCUACAGAUAAAUGUGAUUCUGCUGGAUCUCCACCUGUUUCCAUGUGCUGUUGCAUUUCAGGGUGUUUGGUUGAGUAUUUUUAUUUUCUGCAAUCAUUCAGCAAAUUGAUACCAAAGGCUUUGCAAUCACUCCCUCAGUAACUCUGGAGUAGGAAUAAAGGCAGGAAAUUGUCACUGGGGUAGUGUGACUGUCCCAGCACUGAACAACUGUACCUGAGCCUCUGGAGAUCAUUGCUUCAAGCUCAA